UACAGAGGGUGCGAGCGUUGUCCGGAAUCACUGGGCGUAAAGGGCGCGUAGGCGGCUCGGUAAGCGUGCGGUGAAAGCCCGGGGCUCAACCCCGGGUCGGCCGUGCGAACUGCAGAGCUGGAGCACUGUAGAGGCAGGUGGAAUUCCGGGUGUAGCGGUGGAAUGCGUAGAGAUCCGGAAGAACACCGGUGGCGAAGGCGGCCUGCUGGGCAGUUGCUGACGCUGAGGCGCGAAAGCUAGGGGAGCAAACGGG
rnacentral:rRNA from 1 species